GAUGAACGCUGGCGGCGUGCUUAACACAUGCAAGUCGAACGGAAAGGCUCCUGCUUGCAGGGGUACUCGAGUGGCGAACGGGUGAGUAACACGUGGGUGAUCUGCCCUGCACUUCGGGAUAAGCCUGGGAAACUGGGUCUAAUACCGGAUAGGACCACAUUUUGGAUGGUGUGGUGGAAAGUUUUUCGGUGUGGGAUGAGCUCGCGGCCUAUCAGCUUGUUGGUGGGGUAAUGGCCUACCGAGGCGUCGACGGGUAGCCGGCCUGAGAGGGUGUACGGCCACAUUGGGACUGAGAUACGGCCCAGACUCCGACGGGAGGCAGCAGUGGGGAAUAUUGCACAAUGGGCGCAAGCCUGAUGCAGCGACGCCGCGUGGGGGAUGACGGCCUUCGGGUUGUAAACUCCUUUCGCUAGGGACGAAGCGUUUUUGUGACGGUACCUGGAGAAGAAGCACCGGCUAACUACGUG
rnacentral:rRNA from 1 species